rnacentral:sRNA from 1 species
GUUUCUUCUCAUUGAUACAUUCACUCCUGCCUUUUAAAUGCUUUCUGAUGCAGCACCUGGGAAACUGAGAAUUGUUCAUGGAGAUGUCUUGACAUUUAAGGUAGAAAAGGCUUUUUCAGAAAGUCUUAAAAGACCCUGGGAAGAUGAUCCUCCAGAUGUACAUAUUAUUGGAAAUCUGCCUUUUAGUGUUUCAACUCCACUGAUUAUCAAGUGGCUUGAAAAUAUUUCCUGUAGAGAUGGACCUUUUGUUUAUGGCAGAACUCAGAUGACUUUGACUUUUCAAAAGGAAGUGGCAGAGAGACUUGCAGCCAAUACAGGAAGCAAACAGCGUAGUCGCCUCUCUGUUAUGGCUCAGUACCUCUGCAAUGUUCGACACAUCUUUACAAUUCCAGGACGAGCUUUUGUCCCCAAACCAGAGUCCUGCCUGUGCCUUUCAGGGCAUUUAAAAUUGCUGCUAGAAAGUUCUGUGGCUUUUCAGACUACACUCAUGAAUUCAGUCCAGCUGAUUAAUCAGUGUCUACCGAAAAUAAGUGGUGUCUCUAUCUGUGAAGUUUAGCACUGAG